rnacentral:tmRNA from 1 species
GGGGCUGACCUGGUUUCGACGUGGGUAUGGCGUCAAGAAGGGCAUGCCGAGCACUCCAGUUCGCUCGUUAAUCUGUCUGGAAAACACUUAAGCGCAAACGAUAACUCGUACGCUCUCGCUGCUUAAUCGCGGCGAGCCGCUCACCGGCAGGCCGAUGGUCCGGGUUGAAGGCUGAAAGGCUAGAGACAGAGCGGUCAUUUACAUUGGCUGGUUCAGGACUGGGUCACUCGGUUCUGGACGAGACUUAGUGACUGGCGGUUACCGUAGCCUGCUGCUGGGCGACGGUAAUGGCGAGACUCAAAUCAGUCAGCUACGCAUGUAGAACUUGUUGGCAAAGUCUUGCGGACGGGGGUUCGAUUCCCCCCAGCUCCACCA